AGAUGUGAGGGCGAUCUGGCUGAGACAUGUCACCUCAUUGAGCGCCAGAGUUGAUUCGGCUGAUCUGGCUGGCUAGGUGGGUAUACCCUUCCUCCCUCACCGCUCCAUGUGCGUCCCUCCCGAAGCUGCGCGCUGGGUGGAAGAGGACGACCUUCCCCGAUAGAGGAGAGGACCGUUCUUCAGUCAGGGGUAUACGAGUAGCUGCGCUCCCCUGCUAGAACCUCCACGCAAGCUCUCAAGGUCCAAAGCGCUUUUCUUAAAAUCAAGUGGACACUAGGUUAAUGGCAUUGUUCCUGAUUUGUGCAGGUUGUGGGUCCAU
rnacentral:snRNA from 1 species